rnacentral:rRNA from 1 species
UUCCAUAAGAAAUAAUCUAUGGUACAACCUGCUCAAUGUGAAUAUAUAAAUAGCCGCAGUUUACUGUGCUAAGGUAGCAUAAUCACUUGCUUCUUAAUUAGAAGAUAGUAUGAAAGGUAAAACAUUUAGAUUCAGUCUCUUCAAUAAUAAUCGAACUUUAAAUAAUAGUUAAAAUUCUAUUAAUAUUAGGUGGGACGACAAGACCCUGAUAAACUUAUUAUUUAAUUGGGGAAAUAUAAUAAUAAUUAUUUAUUAAAAUCCUUAACAAAACUUAAACAUUAAACAUAGAAAAGUUACUACAGGGAUAACAGCGCAAUUUCUUUUAAGAGACCUAAUCAAAAAAGAAGAUUACGACCUCGAUGUUGAAUUAAUUAACCUAAUUAAGAGCAACAUCUUAUUAAGGUGGUCUGUUCGACCAUAAAAUAACU